rnacentral:misc_RNA from 1 species
GAAAUGCGAUAAGUAAUGAGAAUUGCAGAAUUCAGUGAAUCAUCGAAUCUUUGAACGCACCUUGCGCUCCUUGGUAUUCCUUGGAGCAUGCCUGUUUGAGUAUCAUGAAAUCUACAAAGUAAAUCUUUUGUUAACUCAAUUGGUUUCUACUUUGGUAUUGGAGGUCUUUGCAGCUUCACACCUGCUCCUCUUUGUUCAUUAGCUGGAUCUCAGUGUUAUGCUUGGUUCCACUCGGCGUGAUAAGUUAUCUAUCGCUGAGGACACUGUAAAAGGUGGCCAAGGUAAAUGCAGAUGAACCGCUUCUAAUAGUCCAUUGACUUGGACAAUACUUUUAUGAUCUGAUCUCAAAUCAGGUAGGACUACCCGCUGAACUUAAGC